CUACGGGCUGCUGCAGUGGGGAAUAUUGCACAAUGGGCGCAAGCCUGAUGCAGCAACGCCGCGUGAACGAAGAAGGUUUUCGGAUCGUAAAGUUCUUUUCUUGGGGAAGAAACCAUGACGGUACCCAAGGAAUAAGCACCGGCUAACUACGUGCCAGCAGCCGCGGUAAUACGUAGGGUGCAAGCGUUAUCCGGAAUCACUGGGCGUAAAGGGUGCGUAGGCGGUUUUACAAGUCAGAAGUGAAAGGCAAUGGCUCAACCAUUGUAAGCUUUUGAAACCGUAAGACUUGAAUGCAGGAGAGGUAAGUGGAAUUCCUAGUGUAGCGGUGAAAUGCGUAGAUAUUAGGAGGAACACCAGUGGCGAAGGCGACUUACUGGACUGUUAUUGACGCUGAGGCACGAAAGCGUGGGGAGCGAACAGGAUUAGAUACCCCCGUAGUC
rnacentral:rRNA from 1 species